AAGUCGUAACAAGGUUUCCGUAGGUGAACCUGCGGAAGGAUCAUUAGUGAUUUUUUCAAACUUUUGGGGGAGGGGGAAAUUUUUAAAAAAAUGAAAGCCCCCCCUAAAUUUCAACCAUUUGUGAACAAGAAACCAAGAAAAAUGACUAACUAACACAAAGUUAAUUCUUUUUGUUUAGUUGAUUUUUUUUUAAAACCAUGAGUUUAAUCUUUAUUUUUCAUAACACAUUGUUUAAGCUAUUUCAUAGAAUUUUAUAAUCUAUUAAAACAACUAUUAACAAUGGAUCCCUUGGCUCUUA
rnacentral:misc_RNA from 1 species